rnacentral:rRNA from 1 species
GAUGAACGCUGGCGGCGUGCUUAACACAUGCAAGUCGAACGGAGCUAUGACACGGAGUCUUCGGACGAAGUGCUGUAGCUUAGUGGCGGACGGGUGAGUAACACGUGAGCAACCUACCUUUUGCAGGGGAAUAACUCUGGGAAACCAGAGCUAAUACCGCAUGCCGUGCGCUUGGGGCAUCCCAGGUGCAUGAAAGGAGCAAUCCGGCAGAAGAUGGGCUCGCGUCCGAUUAGGUAGUUGGAGAGGUAAUGGCUCCCCAAGCCGACGAUCGGUAGCCGGACUGAGAGGUCGAUCGGCCACAUUGGGACUGAGACACGGCCCAGACUCCUACGGGAGGCAGCAGUGGGGAAUAUUGGGCAAUGGGCGGAAGCCUGACCCAGCGACGCCGCGUGAAGGAGGAAGGCUUUCGAGUUGUAAACUUCUUUGGGGAGGACGAAGAUGACGGUACCUCCAGAACAAGCCACGGCUAACUACGUGCCAGCAGCCGCGGU